CCUUAUGAAAGGAAAGGAGAAAUUAUUUCCCACCAUUCCUUGCUGCAGCAACAUUUAAAGGGGACAUAUUAUGCUCCUUUUCAUCAAGUUUAAAUAAGUCUCAGAGGUCCCCAAAACAUUUCUUUGAAGCUUCUUGCUAUAAAAUCCACUCCGAUCCUAUAUUUCAGCAUGCCUGUAAACCCCUCUUUUUGAGCCCUGUUCAGAACAGGCUGUUUCUGUGUCUGUAGCUUUAAAUCCAAAUGAGCUGUGCCUGACCACGCCCCUCUCCGGAAGGGGAUGCGGCUUGGGCUUCUGGCACCAUGCUCUAAUGUUUACGGUGACCUUGACCGCCGACCUGGCGUUGGAAGCGCUUUGGUUCAACCACACGACUUUUAUCCAGAAUCUGAGCCAGAGGGAGAGGCUGCUGAAGAAGUUCAAACUCUACAACUGCAGCAGGACGUUUCUGAAUGGUGCUCCUGUGGAAACUGUGCAACCAUGCCCACAGAAGCUGAGAAUAUCUGCUGCUAGGAGAUACCACAGGUUACCAGAUGGCUAUGGGAGAUGGAGGAAGAUUUACCAUGUAUGGUAGACCGUCCUGGGUUGGAGCCGCUCUGCCUCAUUGUGUUCUGCCUGCAACAUGUACCGCACUGACUAUGGUCCUUUACGGUUGAGAGGAAUACACCAGUACGUUUUGCUUCUUUGUAAAAACAUAUAGUUUCAAUCUAAAUAAAAGAUGUUAGGCAGUCUUGUUUUACUUCAGUGCAAAUCAUUUUACAAUGGUAAUAACAGACCACAAAUGGAGUAACACACCCUCAAAUAAAUUAGUUUAGCUGCUCUUUGAUUUGUAAAGUUCUUCUAUCAGCAGAUAGUGUGCAUAUAAUAUAUGAAUUCAGAGGAGUCAUUUCUUUAGAAACAAAAGCCUUUGUUUAAAUUUUUCACUUUUUUUUUUUUUUUUUUUUACAAAACAAUGACUGAAAGUCUGUUUCUAACUACCUCCUGACAUUUUCUUUACUGUAUUUUUUUGUUGAUGGAACUGUCAUAACAUUAUACGUGCAAUACUUAAUACAAUGUGUACAAAACAUUUUUUGGUUGAAAAAUAAAAUAAUAUAACACACCUUUGGAAAUUGGA